GAAGGUAUAGCUUAGUGGUAGAGCACAUGCUUAGCAUGCACAAGGUCCUGGGUUCAAUCCACAGUGCCUCCU
rnacentral:tRNA from 1 species